rnacentral:rRNA from 1 species
CCCGUAGGGGGCGAGCGUUGUCCGGAUUCAUUGGGCGUAAAGAGCUCGUAGGCGGCUUGGUAAGUCGGAUGUGAAAACUCCAGGCUCAACCUGGAGCCGCCAUUCGAUACUGCUAUGGCUAGAGUCCGGUAGGGGAGUGUGGAAUUCCCGGUGUAGCGGUGAAAUGCGCAGAUAUCGGGAGGAACACCAACGGCGAAGGCAGCACUCUGGGCUGGAACUGACGCUGAGGAGCGAAAGCGUGGGUAGCAAACAGG